UGAUCUAUAGGAUUGUAUUAAAAUUGAAUAAAGCUUUGUUUAUAUAUUGAUAAUGACAGUAUAUAUAUCGUGUCUUGACUAAUUGCGUGCCAGCAGUCGCGGUAAUACGUAAGAGACUAGUGUUAUUCAUCUUAAUUAGGUUUAAAGGGUACCUAGACGGUCAAUAUAGCUUCUAGAAUGUUAGUACUUGACUAGAGUUUUAUGUAAGAGGGCAGUACUUGAGGAGGAGAGAUGAAAUUCUAUGAUACCAAAGGGACUCGGUAAAGGCGAAGGCAGCCCUCUAUGUAAAAACUGACGUUGAAGGACGAAGGCACAGAGAACAAACAGGAUUAGAUACCCAAGUAGUCUUUGCAGUAAAUGAUGAAUGCCAUAGGUUAGAUUAAGAUUUAAUAAUUUAGUUCAUUUGAAUUAAAUAUUAAACAUUAUUUGGUCUAUAAAUGAAAGUGUAAGCAUUUCACCUCAAGAGUAAUGUGGCAACGCAGGAACUGAAAUCAC
rnacentral:rRNA from 1 species